AUUGAACGCUGGCGGCAUGCUUUACACAUGCCAGUCGAACGGCAGCGCGGGCUUCGGCCUGGCGGCGAGUGGCGAACGGGUGAGUAAUACAUCGGAACGUGCCCAGUAGUGGGGGAUAGCUCGGCGAAAGCCGGAUUAAUACCGCAUACGACCUGAGGGUGAAAGCGGGGGAUCUUCGGACCUCGCGCUAUUGGAGCGGCCGAUGGCAGAUUAGCUAGUUGGUGGGGUAAAGGCCUACCAAGGCGACGAUCUGUAGCUGGUCUGAGAGGACGACCAGCCACACUGGGGCUGAGACACGGCCCAGACUCCUACGGGAGGCAGCAGUGGGGAAUUUUGGACAAUGGGCGAAAGCCUGAUCCAGCAAUGCCGCGUGUGUGAUGAAGGCCUUCGGGUUGUAAAGCACUUUUGGCGGGAACGAAAAGGACUGUGCCAAUACCACGGUUCGAUGACGGUACCCGCAGAAUAAGCACCGGCUAACUACGUG
rnacentral:rRNA from 1 species